rnacentral:rRNA from 1 species
AGUGAACGCUGGCGGUAGGCCUAACACAUGCAAGUCGAACGGCAGCACAGUAAGAGCUUGCUCUUACGGGUGGCGAGUGGCGGACGGUUGAGGAAUACAUCGGAAUCUACUUUUUCGUGGGGGAUAACGUAGGGAAACUUACGCUAAUACCGCAUACGACCUACGGGUGAAAGCAGGGGAUCUUCGGACCUUGCGCGAUUGAAUGAGCCGAUGUCGGAUUAGCUAGUUGGCGGGGUAAAGGCCCACCAAGGCGACGAUCCGUAGCUGGUCUGAGAGGAUGAUCAGCCACACUGGAACUGAGACACGGUCCAGACUCCUACGGGAGGCAGCAGUGGGGAAUAUUGGACAAUGGGCGCAAGCCUGAUCCAGCCAUACCGCGUGGGUGAAGAAGGCCUUCGGGUUGUAAAGCCCUUUUGUUGGGAAAGAAAAGCAGCAGGUUAAUACCCCGCUGUUAUGACGGUACCCAAAGAAUAAGCACCGGCUAACUUCGUG